ACUCAAAGGAAUUGACGGGGGCCCGCACAAGCAGCGGAGCGUGUGGUUUAAUUCGACGCAACGCGAAGAACCUUACCGGGGCUUGACAUCCACGGGAAGCGUCCAGCGAUGGGCGCGCCCUUCGGGGCCGGUGGACAGGUGUUGCAUGGCUGUCGUCAGCUCGUGCCGUGAGGUGUUGGGUUAAGUCCCGCAACGAGCGCAACCCUCAUCGCCAGUUAGGCUGUCUGGCGAGACUGCCGGUAGCAAACCGGAGGAAGGCGAGGAUGACGUCAAGUCAGCAUGGCCCUUACGUCCCGGGCUACACACACGCUACAAUGGCCGGUACAACGGGAAGCAAGGCCGCGAGGCGGAGCUAAUCCACUAAAGCCGGUCUCAGUUCAGAUUGCAGGCUGCAACUCGCCUGCAUGAAGGAGGAGUUGCUAGUAACCGUGGGUCAGCACACCGCGGUGAAUAUGUUCCCGGGCCUUGCACACACCGCCCGU
rnacentral:rRNA from 1 species